rnacentral:misc_RNA from 1 species
UGAACUCAGAAAUCUGCCUGCCAUU